rnacentral:rRNA from 1 species
GAUGAACGCUAGCGGCAGGCUUAACACAUGCAAGUCGAGGGGUAUAGUUCUUCGGAGCUAGAGACCGGCGCACGGGUGCGUAACGCGUAUGCAAUCUACCUUUUGCAGAGGGAUAGCCCAGAGAAAUUUGGAUUAAUACCUCAUAGUAUGUGAGAAUGGCAUCAUUUUCACAUUAAAGUCACAACGGCAAAAGAUGAGCAUGCGUCCCAUUAGCUUGUUGGUACGGUAACGGCUUACCAAGGCAACGAUGGGUAGGGGUCCUGAGAGGGAGAUCCCCACCACGGGUACUGAGGCACGGACCAGACGCCUACGGGAGGCAGCAGUGAGGAAUAUUGGACAAUGGGCGCAAGCCUGAUCCAGCCAUGCCGCGUGCAGGAUGACGGUCCUAUGGAUUGUAAACUGCUUUUGUACAGGAAGAAACACUGGUUCGUGAACCAGCUUGACGGUACUGUAAGAAUAAGGAUCGGCUAACUCCGUGCCAGCAGCCGCCGUAACAC